rnacentral:rRNA from 1 species
AUUGAACGCUGGCGGAAUGCUUUACACAUGCAAGUCGAGCGGCAGCGCGGCCUUCGGGCUGGCGGCGAGCGGCGAACGGGUGAGUAAUGCAUCGGAACAUGCCCAGUCGUGGGGGAUAACACUUCGAAAGAAGUGCUAAUACCGCAUACGUCCUGAGGGGGAAAGCGGGGGAUCGCAAGACCUCGCGCGAUUGGAGUGGCCGAUGUCAGAUUAGCUAGUUGGUGGGGGAAAGGCCUACCAAGGCGACGAUCUGUAGCUGGUCUGAGAGGAUGAUCAGCCACACUGGGACUGAGACACGGCCCAGACUCCUACGGGAGGCAGCAGUGGGGAAUUUUGGACAAUGGGGGCAACCCUGAUCCAGCCAUUCCGCGUGAGUGAAGAAGGCCUUCGGGUUGUAAAGCUCUUUCGGCAGGAACGAAACGGUGGGCUCUAACAUAGUCCGCUAAUGACGGUACCUGAAGAAGAAGCACCGGCUAACUACGUG